rnacentral:rRNA from 1 species
GAGUGAAGCAGCAAUAGCUCAAAUUUGAAAUCUGGGUCUGAGUUGUAAUUUGUAGAGGAUGCUUCUGGGCAGCCCGACCUAAGUUCCUUGGAACAGGACGUCAUAGAGGGUGAGAAUCCCGUAUGGUCGGAAAGGCACCCUACACAGCUCCUUCGACGAGUCGAGUUGUUUGGGAAUGCAGCUCUAAAUGGGAGGUAAAUUUCUUCUAAAGCUAAAUAUUGGCCAGAGACCGAUAGCGCACAAGUAGAGUGAUCGAAAGAUGAAAAGCACUUUGGAAAGAGAGUUAAAAAGCACGUGAAAUUGUUGAAAGGGAAGGGAUUGCAACCAGACUUGCUCGCGGUUUCCGCCGGUCUUCUGACCGGUUCAUUCGGCGUGCAGGCCAGCAUCGUCUGGUGCCGCUGGAUAAGACUUGAGGAAUGUAGCUCCGGGAGUGUUAUAGCCUCUUGUAUGCACGAGCGCCGGGCGAGGUCCGCGCUUCGGCUAGGAUGCUGGCGUAAUGGUUGUAAUCCGCCCGUCUUGAAACACGGACCAAGGAGUCUAACAUCUAUGCGAGUGUUCGGGUGUCAAACCCCUACGCGUAAUGAAAGUGAACGGAGGUGAGAACGGUGCAUCAUCGACCGAUCCUGAUGUCUUCGGAUGGAUUUGAGUAUGAGCAUAGCUGUUGGGACCCGAAAGAUGGUGAACUA